GCUUUGCGGCUGGAUCCCCUCCUUUCUAAGGAGCAGUACCAGUCUUCCCUGCCUGACAUUCUGUUACGGCAGUUGUUGAAGACGUGGGUACGGCGGUCGAAGGGCCGCGCGAUCGCACAAAGUAAUCUUUUGAAGAACAUCCCGCACACUGCGGCGGGCUUGUUCUUUGACACAGAGUUUUAUCCUUUCCAGGCUGCUGCGGCAGCCAGGCACGACCCGCGGGGCCGUAGCUCAGUUGGAAGAGCACCUGCUUUGCAAGCAGGAUGUCGUCGGUUCGAUCCCGUCCGGCUCCACCAGACGGGCCAACCGCGUCACCACCGGCCAGCAGACAGACGCUGCGCCCCGCCCCCCGAGGGCUCAUAGCUCAGUUGGUUAGAGCACACGCUUGAUAAGCGUGGGGUCGGUGGUUCAAGUCCACCUGGGCCCACCAGGGCCAGCCCAAAACCAAGAAGGACUCUGUGAACGACUUUCGUUCUUUGACAGUUUGAUGCAUGACAGCAUAUUUCAUUGAAAAACAAGAAAUUGCGACAAACGCGUGCAAGAAUACCAACCUUUAAACAAGGCGAUAGUCUAUUGAAUCAAUCAAGGGCAACAGGCGGAUGCCUUGGCGACAUCAGGCGAUGAAGGACGUGCUAAGCUGCGAUAAGCUUCGGGGAGCGGCAAAGACGCUUUGAUCCGGAGAUUUCCGAAUGGGGAAACCCGGAAGC
rnacentral:misc_RNA from 1 species